UCAUAAUUUACUUGAUGUUGAUUUUCCACGUGGAUAACUGUGGUAAUUCUAGAGCUAAUACAUGCACCAAAGCUCUGAUUUUUUGACGAGCGCAUCUAUUAGACCAAAAACCAAUCGAGAUAAUUUUCGUACACCUAGCGUGUGCGCGAAUUCCUCGUUUAUUUGGUGACUCUGAAUAGCUUAGCUGAUCGCAGGGUCUUGUACCGGCGACGUAUCUAUCAAGUGUCUGCCUUAUCAACUUUCGAUGGUAGGUUAUAUGCCUACCAUGGUUGUAACGGGUAACGGAGAAUAAGGGUUCGACUCCGGAGAGGGAGCCUGAGAAACGGCUACCACAUCCAAGGAAGGCAGCAGGCGCGCAAAUUACCCACUCUCAGCACGAGGAGGUAGUGACGAAAAAUAACGAGACCGUUCUCUAUGAGGCCGGUUAUCGGAAUGAGUACAACUUAAAGCCGUUAACAAGGAUCUAUGAGAGGGCAAGUCUGGUGCCAGCAGCCGCGGUAAUUCCAGCUCUCAAAGUGUAUAUCGUCAUUGCUGCGGUUAAAAAGCUCGUAGUUGGAUUUAAGCACGAUGACUUGGUCCAUCCAUGGGAUGUGAACUGAGCUCAUCGGCUAAUCAUGCUGGUUUUGUCUAGGUGGCUUUCAACGGUCGCCUAGGUUGGCUAGCGAGUUUACUUUGAAAAAAUUAGAGUGCUCAACGCGGGCUUAAUGCCUGAAUAUUUGUGCAUGGAAUAAUGGAAUAGGAUCUCGGUUCUAUUUUGUUGGUUUUCUGAUCUGAGAUAAUGGUUAAGAGGGACAGACGGGGGCAUUCGUAUCGCUACGUGAGAGGUGAAAUUCUUGGACCGUAGCGAGACGCUCGACUGCGAAAGCAUUUGCCAAGAAUGUCUUCAUAAUCA
rnacentral:rRNA from 1 species